rnacentral:lncRNA from 1 species
ACCUGGCCCGCGCUCACCUUGAGGCCGCGGAUCUCGCCGAGGUGCAGCUGCAGGCGGCGGUUCACCUCGCGGAUGAGGUUGCUGUGGUCCAGCAUCGCGCUCACCUUCUCCGCCUCGGCGCGCCGCAGGCUGCGGAUCAGCUCCUCCUUGCUCCACUGCAGCAGCUCCUCGUCCGACACUUUGGACAGGUCCUCCACCGGCGCGGGCGGGGCCGCGGACGAGCCGGCCGGGGCUGGGGAACAACUUUCCGCCGCCGCCGCAGCCGCCGCCGCGCCUCCGGCCGCCUUCGACAUGGUAUCCGCGGGGUGGCAGGUGCAAGUGGGUGGAAGAGGCGAGGCGACUCCCGAAGGCGCGGGCGCGGCGAGGCCGCCUCCGCCCACACCCCUGUGCGCUCCGGCGAGUCAGCGGCACCGCCCAGGGGCCGCUGGGUUGGGGCGGCGGGGGUCGCGCUGGGUGGCCAUCCUACCUCGCCAUCCCCGCGCGCGCGCCCGCGCUCCCCCAGGGCCCGGCAGCCAGCCGCUUGCUGCUGCCGAGGCCCGUCCCAACUCCGCGCAAGUCCAUGGUGAGGGGCACUGGGGAGCCCGGGGCUGCCGCGGGAAAUCCUCGGGGACAGCGGGGGAGCUGCACCGCCGUUCCCCUGCCCUCUCCUCCGCCCUAAGCCGAGACUGUCGCCCCCCGCACUCUCUGCCCUGCACACAGGCGUGCACGCACACGCACUUUCCUCCCCCUUGCCCAGCUGCAGCCCCCGGCUUCUCCCCUCUCCUAGCUUGGAGGGCGCGCCGGGCACCGCGGCGCCUCCCCGGCUGCUCUAGCGACGCCGCCGCGGCUGCCCGAAGGCUGCUGCGCUCCUCCUGCCGCCUUCGCUGCGCCCGCGGCCGCUCCUAGGCUGCUCCGGAAAGCCUUCGAUUUGCAGAGCGGAGUCGAGAAGGGGUGGAGGGUGGGGGACCGGCUGGAGGAGGAGCCUGGAGCUGGGGCCACCCGUAACCCGCAGCAGCUCCCGCAUGGGCUGGACGCAGCUGCCACUCGACCGCUGCCCGGGCCCUCGAGGUGCGCUCCCGGCUGUCCUGCCCGGGAGGGCUGGGGGCGCGGCUCUUUCUGCGCCCGGGCGGGUGGGGCUGGAAUGGGGAGAAGGUGAGGAGCUGUGGCCGCCCGGUCUUUGGGAGGCUCGCGCGCGCCACCGUGUGGCGGAAGAAGCUCCCUCCUCUGCCCUCUGCACACCGGCCUUGUCA